GAUCCUGGCUCAGAUUGAACGCUGGCGGCGUGCUUAACACAUGCAAGUCGAACGCGAAAGUGGCUUCGGCCACGAGUAGAGUGGCGCACGGGUGAGUAACGCGUGGAUAAUCUGCCUCUGCAAUCGGAAUAACGACUGGAAACGGUCGCUAAUACCGGAUACGCUUAAGUUUUACCUCUUAAGGAAAGAUGACCUCUAUUUAUAAGUUAUCGUGCAGAGAUGAGUCCGCGUCCCAUUAGCUUG
rnacentral:rRNA from 1 species